UGAGGUUGUAGCUCAGCUGGAUAGAGCAUUAGAUUGCGGAUCUAAAGGUCGCACGUUCGAGUCGUGUCAGCCUCAU
rnacentral:tRNA from 1 species